GUUUGUAAAGAACACAGGUUUUAGACCCGGUGCUCAUUUCCUUCCUUCUUCAAGAGGCGACGUCGGGUAAACCUAACCCUAGUGUAUCUCUUUCAUCAGCCGCCACCAAGGUGAAGACUCCUCAGCCGCUGCUUGCAUCACCAAGCCCGGCCGCCACCUUUUUCCGCCAGCUAUCUCGCCGAUGAUCGUCGCCGCAACAACCUCGACUGCCGGAGACGCCAUGGGCAAUAAAAGAACCGCAGAGGAAUGUGGGGCAUGUUGUGUUCGUCCUGCGUGAGUCGGGAGCCACCGGAAGCGCUCGUACGAGGAUCGGCCAGCCAGCAGUCAGGGAUUUAUCCGCGGGACUUCGGCGGUGCAAGGUAUCAUUGGUUUGGAAAUGAAGGGUCCGACUUGAUCGCAGUGCACACACACCCGUGUGCCGCAACUUAUGAAUUUGGGACGAACUAUGAUAAAUAUUUUAAUUAAUCAUGUUUCUGGAAUGUUUGGAUUUAGAAGAUAUCUGUGUUUUUACUAUAAUAAAAAUAAAAAUUUUACCCUUGAUUUUUGGGUCGUUACA